rnacentral:tRNA from 1 species
GGGUGUGGCACAGUAUUAACGAGCGCUUCCCUACCCAUCUUCCAGAGGGAAGAGGUCGGCGGUUCGAGCCCGUCAACGCCCA